rfam:Williamsia sp. D3 Contig001, whole genome shotgun sequence.
CGAGUCGGCCGGGCGGCCGCGAUCGCGGGAACAGUUGCUCCAGCGACCUGCCCGCGGUCGAGGAAAGUCCGGACUCCACAGAGCAGGGUGGUUGCCAACAGCAACCCGAGGUGACUCGCGGGACAGUGCCACAGAAAACAGACCGCCGGCGAAAGCCGGUGAGGGUGAAACGGUGCGGUAAGAGCGCACCAGCAUCACGGGUGACCGUGAUGGCUCGGUAAACCCCACCCGGAGCAAGGUCGAAGGUCGCAUCAGGUAACUGGUGCGGCUGCGCAGGUGUUCGAGGGCGGCUCGCCCGAGCCUGCGGGUGGACCGCUCGAGGUACCCGGCGACGGUGUACCCAGAUGGAUGGCCGCCACCGGCGACCGCAAGGUCGCCGGUACAGGAUCCGGCUUACAGGCCGGCUCGUUCG